rnacentral:rRNA from 1 species
GAUGAACGCUGGCGGCGUGCCUAAUACAUGCAAGUCGAGCGAACGGACGAGAAGCUUGCUUCACUGAUGUUAGCGGCGGACGGGUGAGUAACACGUGGAUAACCUACCUAUAAGACUGGGAUAACUUCGGGAAACCGGAGCUAAUACCGGAUGAUAUUUUGAACCGCAUGGUUCAAAAGUGAAAGACGCUCUUGCUGUCACUUAUAGAUGGAUCCCCGCUGCAUUAGUUAGUUGGUAAGUUAACGGCUUACAAAGGCAACGAUGCAUAGCCGACCUGAGAGGUGGAUCGGCCACACUGGAACUGAGACACGGUCCAGACUCCUACGGGAGGCAGCGGUAGGGAAUCUUCCGCAAUGGGCGAAGGCCUGACGGAGAAACGCCGCGUGAGUGAGGAAGGUCUUCGGAUCGUAAAACUCUGUUAUUAGGGAAGACCAUAUGUGUAAGUAACAGUGCACAUCUUGACGGUACCUAAUCAGAAAGCCACGGCUAACUACGUG